AGCGAACGCUGGCGGCAGGCCUAACACAUGCAAGUCGAACGCACCUUCGGGUGAGUGGCGGACGGGUGAGUAACACGUGGGAACGUACCUUUUGGUUCGGAAUAACGCAGGGAAACUUGUGCUAAUACCGAAUGUGCCCUUCGGGGGAAAGAUUUAUCGCCAUUAGAGCGGCCCGCGUUAGAUUAGCUAGUUGGUGGAAG
rnacentral:rRNA from 1 species